ensembl:lncRNA
GGGGGGCCAAAGCUAUGGGGGGAAUGGGGAGCAAAGCCAUGGGGAAAUGGGGAGUCAAGGAAAGGGGGGAAUGGGGGGCCAAAGCCAUGGGGGAAUGGGGGGCCAAAGCCAUGGGGGAAUGGGGGGCCAAAGCCAUGGGGGAAUGGGGGGCCAAAGCCAUGGGGGAAUGGGGAGCAAAGCCAGGGGGGAAUGAGGGGCCAAAGCCAUGGGGGAAUGGGGACCUGAGGCCAUGGGGGAAUGGGGAGCAGAGGCCAGGGGGAAAUGGGGAGCCAAAGCCAGGGGGAAAUGGGGACCAAAGCAAAGGGAGAAGGGGGAACCAAAGCCAUGGGGAAAUGGGGAGCCAAAGCUAUGGGGGAAUGGGGACCUGAAGCCAUGGGGGAAUGGGGAGCCGAAGCCAUGGGGAGAAUGGGGAGCCAAGGAUGUGGGGAACUGGGGAGCCAAGGCUACAAGGAAAUGGGGACCCGAGGCCACGGGGGAAUGGGGAGCCAAGGCUAUGAGGAAAUGGGGACCCGAGGCCAUGGGGGAAUGAGGACCUGAAGCCAUGGGGGAGUGGGGAGCCGAAGCCAGGGGGGAAUGGGAAGCCCAAGUUAUAGGGAAAUGGGGACCUGAGGCCAUGGGGAAAUGGGGGGCCAAAGCCAGGAGGGAAUGGGGAGCCAAAGCCAUGGGGGAAUGGGGAGCCGAGGUCAGGGGGGAAUGGGGGGCCAAAGCCAUGGGGAAGUGGGGGGACGAAGCCAUGGGGGAGUGGGGGGGACGAAGCCAUGGGGGAGCGGGGGGCCAAGGAUGUGGGGAACUGGGGAGCCAAAGCCAGGGGGAAAUGGGGACCCGAGGCCAUGGGGGAAUGAGGACCCGAGGCCAAGGGGGGAAUGGAGAGUCAAAGCUAUGGGGAAAUGGGGGGCCAAAGCCAGGGGGAAACAGGGAACUGGGGCCAUAGAGGGCCACAGGUCCAGGGCCAUAGGGAACCAAGGAUCUGAUGCCAUAGGGAAGCAGGAAUCCAAGGCCAUAGGGAUCCAUAGGGAGCCAUGGGGAGCCAUGGGGAGCCAGGGAUCCAAGGCCAUAGGGAGCCAUAGGGAGCCACAGGGAGCCAUAGGGAGCCAUAAGGGAGCCAUAAGGGAGCCAUAAGGGAGCCAUAAGGGAGCCAUAAGGGAGCCAUAGGGAUCUGAUGCCGUGGGGAAGCAGGGAUCUGAUGCCAUAGGGAAGCAGGGAGCCAGGGCCAUAGGGAACCAAGGAUGUGAUGCUAUAGGGAAACGGGGAUCCAAGGCCAUGGGGAAGCCGGGGGGGACACCAUAAGGAACUGAGGAUCCAACACCACAGAGAAUGGUGAUGUGAUGUCAUGGGGAAUCGAGGAGUGAUUCUAUGGGGAAGCGGGGAUCUGGGGCCAUGGGGAGCCAGGGAGUCGGGGCCAUAGGGAGACAGGGAUCCAAGGCCAUAGGGAGCCAUAGGGAGCCAUAGGGAGCCAUAAGGGAGCCAUAAGGGAGACAUAAGGGAGACAUAAGGAGCCAUAGGGAGCCAUAGGGAGCCACAGGGAGCCACAGGGCGCCAUAGGGAGCCAUAGGGAUCUGAUGCCGUGGGGAAGCAGGGAUCUGAUGCCAUAGGGAAGCAGGGAGCCAGGGCCAUAGGGAACCAAGGAUGUGAUGCUAUAGGGAAACGGGGAUCCAAGGCCAUGGGGAAGCCGGGGGUGACACCAUAAGGAACUGAGGAUCCAACACCACAGAGAAUGGUGAUGUGAUGUCAUGGGGAACCGAGGAGUGAUUCUAUGGGGAGGCGGGGAUCUGGGGCCAUGGGGAGCCAGGGAGUCGGGGCCAUGGGGAGACAGGGAUCCAAAGCCAUAGGGAGCCAUAGGGAGCCACAGGGAGCCAUUGGGAGCCAUAGGGCGCCAUAGGGAGCCAUAGGGAUCUGAUGCCGUGGGGAAGCAGGGAUCUGAUGCCAUAGGGAAGCAGGGAUCCAAGGCCAUAGGGAUCCGCAGGGAGCCAUUGGGAGACAUAGGGCGCCAUAGGGAGCCAUAGGGAGCCAUAGGGCACCAUAGGGCGCCAGGGAUCCAAGGCCAUAGGGAGCCAUAAGGGAGCCAUUGGGAGCCAUAGGGAGCCAUAAGGGAGCCAUUGGGAGCCAUUGGGAGCCAUGGGGCACCAUAGGGAGCCAUAGGGAUCUGAUGACGUGGGGAAGCAGGGAUCUGAUGCCAUAGGGAAGCAGGGAUCCAAGGCCAUAGGGAUCCACAGGGAGCCAUUGGGAGCCAUAGGGCGCCAUAGGGAGCCAUAGGGCGCCAUUGGGAGCCAGGGAUCCAAGGCCAUAGGGAGCCAUAGGGAGCCAUUGGGAGCCAUGGGGAGCCAUAGGGGAGCCAUAGGGAUCUGAUGCCGUGGGGAAGCAGGGAUCUGAUGCCAUAGGGAAGCAGGGAGCGUGGGCCAUAGGGAUCCACAGGGAGCCAUUGGGAGCCAUAGGGAGCCAUUGGGAGCCAUAGGGGAGCCAUGGGGAGCCAUAGGGGAGCCAUGGGGAGCCAUGGGGAGCCAUAGGGGAGCCAUAGGGAUCUGAUGCCGUGGGGAAGCAGGGAUCUGAUGCCAUAGGGAAGCAGGGAGCGUGGGCCAUAGGGAGCCAAGGCCAUAGGGAGCCAGGGAUCUGGUGUCAUAGGGAGCUACAGGGAGCCAUAGGGAGUCAUAGGGAGCCACAGGGGGCCAGGGAUCUGGUGCCAUAGGGAACCACAGGUCCGGGGCCAUAGGGAACCACAGGUCCGGGGCCAUAGGGAACCACAGGUCCGGGGCCAUAGGGAGCCAAGGAUCUGAUGCCAUAGGGAACCAGAAAGACAAGGCCAUAGGAGGCCAUAGGAGGCCAUGGGGGGCCACAGGGAGCCAUAGGAGGCCAUGGGGGGCCACAGGUCCAGGCCCAUAGCAAACCAGGGAUGUGCUGCCAUAGGGAACCGGGGAUCCACUGCCACGGGGAAGCCGUGGAUGAAGGGCCUUCAGGAGCCGGGGAACAGCAGCAUCGGGAGGGGGCAGCACCGGGCCCGCCCCUCCCCCCGCCCUCCCUCCCCC